AAACAACAGGGAUUGCCUUAGUAGCGGCGAGUGAAGCGGCAAUAGCUCAAAUUUGAAAUCUGCCAACAGGCCGAGUUGUAAUUUGAAGAAAGCAAUUCUGGAUGUGUCCUUGCUCAAGUUCCUUGGAAUAGGACAUCAUGGAGGGUGAGAAUCCCGUGAUGCGAAGGUAGCACGUCUAUGUAGAAUGUUUUCGAC
rnacentral:rRNA from 1 species